ACUGUGCGCUUUUUCCCGUGUAAAUGUCUGCUCUUUUCCGUUUGUGCGCAACUACUUCUUUCCCGUGUGAGAACUCUUUCUCCAGUAUUUUGCAAGCUAAAAGCUAAAGCUAAUGCGCAAAGGACUAUGGGAGUGGGGUCAAAACGCAACUGAACACGGAACCUUUCCGGAUAUCAGCUCCAGGACUCAACAUCAUGGAGUAUACAGUGAAUUAUAGCGUGAUAAAGUUAUAAUUUUCACUAAAUUUUCAACUGCACACACUUACCAGUGAACUGUGUGUAAAUCAUCAACCGCCUGUGUAUCAGCUGAUUUCUACACCAGCUUUACAUCCUGAGCAGAAGGUGAGUGCUCAGAAGUAUUUACCUCUCUUUUCAAGAACACCACUGAGCACAUCUUAAUCAGGGGACAGGGACACAUUUCUCUUCAUGGACAUGUGUGUGUUAAUGAAUGGUGGAGAUGGGGCCAAAUUUUGCAGCAAUCCUUAAUAGCAAAACCAAAUAAUUGGUUUUAAUACACAGCAUUACUAAAAGCUUGCAUUCUAUGAAAUUUUGUGUGCGUGCCUGCCUGCGUGUGUCAAACUGAUGUCAUAUGAUGUCAAACAUCAUGAAGUGAUAUUAACUUGCUUAUAAACCCAUAUGUGGAUUUAUAUUACAGAGAUGCCAUGGAGCUGCAUAGUAACACCAUGAAGUCUUUUUACUAGACACUUAUAAUAACAUGUCUUUAUUUCUCCCCUGUUGUAGAUUGUCGUGGAGAGGACGGACCCUUGAUGCUCUGCCUUUUUGCACCAACAAUACAUACAUGUAUUUUAUUAAUUUGUAAAUAAAGUCUUUAAUAUAAUUUUA